UACGUAGGGUGCAAGCGUUGUCCGGAAUUAUUGGGCGUAAAGAGCUCGUAGGCGGUUCGUCACGUCGGCUGUGAAAUCCCGAGGCUCAACCUCGGGUCUGCAGUCGAUACGGGCAGGCUAGAGUUCGGUAGGGGAGACUGGAAAUUCCUGGUGUAGCGGUGAAAUGCGCAGAUAUCAGGAGGAACACCGGUGGCGAAGGCGGGUCUCUGGGCCGAUACUGACGCUGAGGAGCGAAAGCGUGGGGGAGCGAACAGG
rnacentral:rRNA from 1 species